UACCGUAUUUAUAUAUAUAAAAAAUAGAUUUACAAGAAUCCACACGACGAUGCGAACAUCGACGUGGGAACACCUACUCCACACAUCUACAAAGCUACCGUCUCACAAAACGCUGUAAACCUCCUACACCGUGAAAUGCUAAGUUCCAUUCUCUAAGCUCUUCCAAGAUCAUUUGAGCGAGGUCAGCUGCAACCACCUAUUGUUCCUUUCGGUUGUGAAAAGAUCCCAAGCCAUGCUGAUGACAAGAUUGUCGAAACUCUUCUAUCAUUCGAACGGAAGACUAAUCUCAACGUGAAAUGAUUAGCAUCCAUCUGUGGAUUGCUUCCAAGCGUCAACCGCCUCCAUCUUCCAGAAAAAUCAUGAUCCUAUCGCUCUCGUUUCACCCAGGAACAGUUGCAGAGCCUCGGCUCGCACGAGCAUCGGUUGUGAAAAAACUAUAAAUUACUGCAACUGGACCUCUGUUGCAGAAUAAUUCUGCAACAAGAUCUUUGUUGCGAAAAAUUUAUAAGACUCUUGCCAUGAAAAUUCUGCGGCAAGACCUCUGUUGCAAGGGGAAAUAAAACUCUAACAAGACUUUUGUUGUAAAAAAAUCUGCAACUUAAUCUAUGUUGUAAAAUUUUCUGCAUCAUGACCCGUGUUGCAGAAAAAUUCUAAAACACAACAUAUAUUGCAAUGGUACAUGGUGACGGUCGGCCGCUCGAGAUUUGAGGCUUGCGAGGUGGCGGAUCUUUCGAAAAGAUCCGCCGGCCGACGCGUAGCAGCGCCCAAUUGCAAACCGGUGCCUUUGCCAAUAUAUGGUGUUCAAAAGAAAAUAUAGAGAAAUAUAUGGUCGUUUCUGUGAAUAACAGAAAUAUUGUAGACCGAACUGUAAAUAUUCCAAAGGGAUAGGAUUACCCAAUCCCCGCUUCCUCCAAGCCGCAUGGCCUAUCGCCGGAGAAAUCCGUGCCGCACAGUCAACGCCGCACCGUCGCCGUCGACGGGCGGCCAACAGCCAGCCCGGCCAUGCCUUCGGGUCAGGCAACCGCACGUUGCCAAUGCCGCGCCGGCGCAUAGCCACGCGCUACACCGCCGCACCGCGCCGGGCAGAACCUCCGCUGCGCCAUGGGCCGCCAUGCGACCGGGAGAGCCACGCCAGGAGGUUUGGCUUCCGCCUCGCCUUGCGCGUGGACCGGGCUGCGCACUGAUCACAAGGCCUCGGCCGUGCGCCCGUCGCCUUCGCUGACGCGACGCGGUCGCUGCCGCCACGCUCCGGUGGCGACCAUGCCCGCCGUGCAGCCGUGCUGCGCUGUUGUUGUGGCGUGUGAGGGCGCUCCCGUCCGUUCAGCGAGGCCACCGCUUGGAGCCGCCUCCCCGAGAAGUCCCCGAAGACGGCCGUGGCUCUGUGCCUCGCCUGAAGUACAGAGUAUAUAUACCUCUCGCCGUCACAACAAUUCAGUCACUAGAAGUGGACUCAUCAUGGCAAAGCAGAGCAGCGCAGUACAGAGUAUAUAUACCUCUCGCCGUCACAACAAUUCACAGUCACUGGAAGUGGUCUCAAUCACGGCAAAGCAGGCCAGUGCAUUACAGAGUAUAUAUACCUUUCGCAGUUCAGUCACUAGAAAUGGACUCAUCAUGGCAAAGCAGAGCAGUGUAGUACAGAGUAUAUAUACCUCUCGCCGUCACAACAGUUCAGUCACUAGAAGUGAACUCAUCAUGGCAAAGCAGAGCAGUGCAGUACAGAGUAUAUAUACCUCUCGCCGUCACAACAGUCCAGUCACUAGAAAUGGACUCAGCACAGCAAUGCAGUACAGAGUAUAUAUACCUCUCGCCGUCACAACCAGAUAACGGUGGCCAGGUGGGCCUCCCUGACCUGGAUUAUAUGUGUGCCAUUGGAGGAGCUCGUGGUGUGUGUCAUCGGGUCACAAAUGAUCGAUCAAUGCUGCUGUUGCUGUUGCUGGUACACAUAGCUAAGGUGGAACUAUAUUUAUAGGGUCUCGGGUGAGAAUCUGGACGGAAGAGGGCAAAACAGGCGAGGAGUGUAUGUUAUUCCGGUGUGUCCUUGAUCGGUGAGGAGCUUAUAUUGAACACUUAUCCAGAUUUUGGUAUCCAGAACAUCAAACGGUGGUGCUCUCAUAUGAUGGAUCCCUGACUUCAUCAAAACGUGAAUUGUUUGCUCAGUCACAUGGUCUUUGAGAAGAAAGAGGGAGUACUAAACUACAGCCUUCCAUGGCGUCUGGGCACUGUGAUUCUGGGCACUGUGAUCCUAGGGCGGAGCCACUGCUUGACAUAAUCCAUCUCACGGUAUGUCCAAAAAUGCUGCAGUCUGCAUAAAUGACAUGAUAAUGUUAGUACUAAAUUUUAGAAGAACAAUAUGAGAGCAAAUGAUCAGUGAAAAAAUUGUGUAUGUUCAACUGUAGUACCUGUUGAAGGUUCUAAAAUCCACUGAAAAGCCUGAGGUUCGCAGAAACUUAGCGUACCAUAUACUGGUUUCGUAUGGUACUUGAGGAUCAUCUGCAGGAACACCAAAUAAAGAAACCAUUCUUAGUGCUGACAAGGAACUUAACAUGAGUAUUCCCUAAAAAAAGGAAC